rnacentral:lncRNA from 1 species
AUGUUUAUUAACAAGGCAUCUGUCAGGUCCCAGGGAGGCUGCUUUACAAUAAAUUCCUUCGAGCUGCAAAAUGUGACCAACAUGUGUUCCUGCAGGCAUUUCUGGCUCUUUGACUGUGAAUCACUCUCCGCUCCAUCUGCAUUUGGCCAGGCAACACCUGAAGACUAUCUCGUUCAUCAUCUCAGAGAAGUGAUGGAUUUGGAGACUAUAGAAAUGACAGAAAGAGAGACUAUUUCCCAUUCUUCCCAGUUUCUGAAGCUCACGUGAAGCCAUCUGAGCUCUGCUCCACUGAACCCAGAUUCUCGUCUUGUAAUCAGUGUAAAAUCGAUACGUCAUUCUUUUGUGCUUUGAAUCACUUGAUCAAUAAAGUGAAAACUGUUUAAGUAUUUUAAUUAAUACCACCCCCCCCCCCGUCCCAGAAGGGAACUUGUUAGUCUGCAUGUUUCAAAAAUUACAUUACAACGCCACUAUUGUCUUAACAAAAUGUACCAUCAAGAUGCCCUUCCUCCAGUGUCUCUUUGCUUGGUUUUCCUCCUAAAAUGUUCUCACUUUCCCAGACAACAGCAGGGAGGAUUUUUAAAGAAAUGCUUUCCCACUCGAGGUCACUAAAACAGUUCAGCAUCCUUCUGGGUUCUGCUCUGCUUGUCCAAGCCCUGAGCUUCACAUGGCAUAGACACUGUGGGUGACCUUGCAAUUUUUUGAAGGAUUCCCCCGUGAAUUUUAGGAAACUGAUGGGAUGUCUCUGCAUCAAGGACACCUGAUGACACAGAUGGGAGGAAUUCAGGGAGCACAGUAGCCUGUGGGGUUGGGCCCAUGGGUUUUCAACUUGGCCGUUGACUGCGUAGCAAUUUGUGCAGCGUGACUUUAUGCUGCAGUCCUGCCGUGGGCUCACUCUGCCCUGUGCCUGGGUGGGUGGUUUUACAUCUUAGGCCACAUGGCAAGUGACUGCGGCCUAUGACAGCUUGUCCACAGGAAAGUUGCUGCUUUUAUAGACAAGAGAGGGCAGAAAUCAAAGCUUCACGGGACAAAAGCUCACGGAGGUUUAAGUUUUAAAUCCCUGGUGCCACACUUAGGUGGGCAAGGCCAGAUCCACUGCAGCAAACCCCCUGUGCACGCGGGGUGGAGGGGAUGCUGUGUAGAAGCAGCACUGGCUUUGAGUGGCUGCACAGGGGCUCUAGAGGCAGGCCCUGGGGCCUGCUCUCAGGUGAAUUGCUACGAGGGAGGCAUCACCCCAUAGCAGGCUUCCUAGGCCAGGGAAACAACAGCAAGAGGCAGUGCAAACGGCCACUGUAGUCUGGGUCUGAAGAAUACCACGGCAGGGGUGCAGAUGCUGCUACCAUGGGGUGUCAGAAACACCGGCCCUUGAGAGAAUUGGGAACGAAGUCGGUUUUAUUUUUUGAUUUUAAUUUUUAAAAAUUUUUAAAUUUUAAAUUUUUUUAAAAAGGUGUUAUUUAUUUAUUUGACACAGACAGAGAGAGAGCACGUACAAGCAGGGGGAGGGUUAGAGGGAGAGGGAGAUGCAGACUCCCCGCAGACCAGGGAGCCCGACGUGGGGCUCCAGGACCCCGGGACCAUGACCUGAGCCGAAGGCAGACACUCUUCGGGGUGAGCCACCCAGGCGCCCCACAAAGCCAGUUUUAACAUAAUGACUGGAAAAGAAAGACACCUCGAGUGAAGACUGAGGACUGCGUUGUCUCUUUUGCAAACGUCUGAACAUCUCAUGAUGGCAACGAUGCCUUCUUUCUCUGUGAGAGGGAAGGUAGUGGCGUAGGUUGAUCCUAACCAUUGAAAUGGUAGAAGUAGGUGGUCAAGAUUUGCCUCUGUGCAGAGAUUCCUUCCAACAUGCUAAAAAGUUCACAGAUCAUGGAUUCUGGGUGGCUGACCUAGCAUGACUGGCCUCCUGGAAGGGCUGGAGCUGAGAUUUUUCUCCAGAUACCUUCCCUCAUGCAGACCCCCAAGUGCUCUUGGCUAGAGUCCUUGCCUAUAGUAAGACCAGGAUUGUGCUAUGGCUUCAUCCACAAAACUUCCUGGGUUCUGGGAGUGUGAUUUUUUUCUGCGGAUAACUGAUUUAAAGUCUGAAGUUUAUUUUAAAUUCUAAAUUUAAUGGGUGUGAGGUGAUAGAUAUGAUAAUCUUAUGGAUACUCAUGUGAGUCCAGAACCACUUUGGAUUCUUUACAAGUGAGUCUCGGGAGAAUCUGGAAACUGAACAAUACUACAACUUCUGAGGCCCUGAAAGAAUGCCAUUCGUUGUAGUCAGAGGCUUCCCAGGCUUGUAUUUACUGAAGACAUGCCAGCUUCCCCGAGAAUCAUCUGGUUGAGACAGAGCAGAAUCAAAUGUUGGGAAAGAUGAUUUCAGGCUUGGUUUUAUCUUUUAUUUUUUUCCUCCUGCUGUGUACUUCCUGUGUAUCUUGAAAAGUAAUUUUGUGUUUUGACUGAAAUUUCUUCCUUAGAAUUUGAUAAUUGGGAGAACGUUUAUAUUCAAAUUCCAGGCAUGUCCAUGUUACUGUCAUCUAAUUAUAUUGCAGACGUUGACCAACCCGUCCCAGUUGGCCUGGGAUCGUUCCAGUUUUAUUUAUUUAUUUUUAAAGAUUUUAUUUAUUUAUUCGAGAGAGAGAGAGAGAGGCAGAGGGAGAAGCAGGCUCCAUGCAGGGAGCCUGACGUGGGACUCAAUCCUGGGUCUCCAGGAUCAUGCCUUGGGCUGAAGGCAGCGUUAAACCGCUGAGCCACCUGGGCUGCCCUUGUUCCAGUUUUAAAGCAGUCAUGUCCCCCAUCUUAGAAAUGCCGCUGUCCCAGGCACACUGAGAUGAUGGGUCGCCCUUUCUGAUAAGCUGUGUUGGAAAGUGUGGCUUGAUGCACUUUGGGAUGUGGCAUAGAAGAAAGUGUGGGCUUUGGGAAUAGACUGGAUAUGAAGUAGAUUUGUUUUUUGUUUGUUUUUAAAAGAUUUGCAUUUAUCUAUUUGAGAGAGAGCACAAGCAGGGUGAGGAGCAGAGGGAGAGGCAGACUUCCUGCUGAGCAGGGAGCCCAAUAUAGACUUGAUCCCAGGACCCCGGGAUCAUGACCCAAGCGGAGGGCAGAUGCAUAACUGGCUGAGCCAUCCCGGCACCCCUGGGUAUCAAAUAUAUUUAAUUGACAUACUGCUCUGAUCCACUUCAGAGUUUUCUCUGGGCCAAAUGUUGAAUUCUCACCAGAGGCUCCCUGAGGACAUCCAGGGGAGCAGUAGUAGUGUUGGGAAGGCCACUUGAUGCAGGCCUGUCCUGCUGGAUGGCUGUCCUAAUCCCACAAGGGAGGUAGCCCCACUUCAGGGUGGCCAUUGGCUCAGUGGCAAAGCCCAAGACUUGAGAAAUAAAAAGCUAGACGAUGUUGAGGAAUGUUCCCUUCCAAAUUUUAUCAUUCUCUUUCACACAGGAGAACUGCUUUAGUAGUGCCCGUCUAGCCUUUCUACCUGCACUCACUAACUGAUCUCCUGUACAACCCUGUCCUGUAGCCCACACUUCCUGUUUGGAUCACAGCCAAAACUUAAAGCUUAAAGAAAACGCUCUGGAUCAGUGCUUCUCAAGAGUGUUCUGCUGAUGGUGGCAUCGGCAUUACCAGAGAUAAUAAAUCUACACUGGGGGGCACCAUCCCAAACUGCUGAAUCAGAACAUUUGGGGUUGGGGAAUCUAAUGCUUCCAGAAGUUCUAAAGGUGGUUCUCCUGCAGCCUGAGGUUUCAGGUGCUGCAAGUUUAGUAUUAGGAAUGUCUCCUCCUAAAUAAAUAAAUAUUUAUAUAUGUCUUUUUUACCUUUGUUAUAAGAUGCAUUUAGAAAUAAAAUCAGAAACUGAUGUUUUUAUUUUUUUUAAGAUUCUACUUAUUAUUUGACAGAGAGAGAGCACAAGGAGGGGGAACGAUAGACAGAGGGAGAGGAAGAGGGAGAAGUAGGCUCCCCACCAAGCAAGGAACCCAACGUGGGGCUUGAUCCCAGGUCCCUCAGCUCAUGAUCUCAGCUGGAGGCAGACGUUCAACACACUGAGCCCCCCAGAUGCCUCAAAACUGAUGUUUUUAGGUCUUGCUUUUACAGUAUUUGACUACUUGUGUUUAGUGUAAGGUGAAUUAUUUUCUAUUACUCAGGCAAGACCCUCCUAAGUACACUCACCCAAAGCCCGAGUUAGUUUCCACUUUGGCUGGUGGGAAGGGGCACCAUUUCCAGCCCUGGGUGAGGUCUGGGGUUUGUUGUCUCUAAUCCAGUUGGGAUGGUUCUCUCCAUGGAUUCAGGUAGUUUCUUCACAUGCAUGAGCCGUGUGGGAUGAUCCCACCCCCUGUGCCGCUGUCUCCUCUCUGGUACUCAGCCCUGCAGACAUGAGCUGCUAUGGCCUCCUGCCCUCUGAGUCCUGUCCUGCCAGAU